GAAAAAUAUUAUUUUUUUAUAUUGUUUGAGAAAAAUCUGAUUUAAAUUAGUUUUUUUUCAGUUUGUUAAUAAAUCUCAUGGUUUAAUUAAAAUAUAACAGAUAAGUAAAUAAUAAAGUGAAGAGAACUUGCUAUGAGCAAGAAAGGAGAAUACAGUGUACAGGUCAAAGAAUAAUUUCAUAAGAAAACUUCACCGAUUGUACCCUGCUCUUCAAUGAAAACAUGUGCCAAGAAAGAGUAAUGCUGGAUUCAGAGUUCCGUAGCCGUAAGACGUAAGCCGUAUCGUUAGCCGUAAGACUUAAGACGCAGGGAAAGCAAUUCAUAGUUGCCGUAAGACGUAACGAUAACUUCAUCGUAAGCGUGCGCAUUACCGUUUUUAAUAGGUUAUGUUGUUGUUUGGGUUGUGAAUGUUGUGAACAAAAAUAUAAUACUCCUUAUUUAUUUUGUUAUUAUUAAUUUAAUUGAACUAAAAUGGACACGGACAAUACUAUUUUCGUUGCCGAAGUGAAAUAUAUUAUAAAAGUUGUAGAAAUGGCUACCGAGUACCACCGAACCUAGCCGA